rnacentral:rRNA from 1 species
AGAACGAACGCUGGCGGCAGGCCUCAAACAUGCAAGUCUAGGGGGCGUAGCAAUACGUCACCGGCGGACGGGUGCGUAACACGUGGGAAUGUACUUAUUGGUUCGGAACAACUCAGGGAAACUUGAGCUAAUACCGAAUGUGCCCGAAAGGGGAAAGAUUUAUCGCCAAUAAAUCAGCCCGCGUCCGAUUAGCUAGUUGGUGAGGUAAAGGCUCACCAAGGCGACGAUCGGUAGCUGUUCUGAGAGGAAGAUCAGCCACACUGGGACUGAGACACGGCCCAGACUCCUACGGGAGGCAGCAGUUGGGAAUCUUGGACAAUGGGGGAAACCCUGAUCCAGCCAUGCCGCGUGAGUGAUGAAGGCCUUCGGGUUGUAAAACUCUUUCGGACGGGACGAUAAUGACGGUACCCGUAGAAGAAGCUCCGGCUAACUUCGCGCCAGCAGCCGC